rnacentral:rRNA from 2 species
CCUUGAAAUACCACCCUUUAAUGGCUGGUGUUCUAACGUAGACCCGUGAUCCGGGUUGCGGACAGUGUCUGGUGGGUAGUUUGACUGGGGCGGUCUCCUCCCAAAGAGUAACGGAGGAGCACGAAGGUUGGCUAAUCCUGGUCGGACAUCAGGAGGUUAGUGCAAUGGCAUAAGCCAGCUUGACUGCGAGCGUGACGGCGCGAGCAGGUGCGAAAGCAGGUCAUAGUGAUCCGGUGGUUCUGAAUGGAAGGGCCAUCGCUCAACGGAUAAAAGGUACUCCGGGGAUAACAGGCUGAUACCGCCCAAGAGUUCAUAUCGACGGCGGUGUUUGGCACCUCGAUGUCGGCUCAUCACAUCCUGGGGCUGAAGUAGGUCCCAAGGGUAUGGCUGUUCGCCAUUUAAAGUGGUACGCGAGCUGGGUUUAGAACGUCGUGAGACAGUUCGGUCCCUAUCUGCCGUGGGCGCUGGAGAAUUGAGGGGGGCUGCUCCUAGUACGAGAGGACCGGAGUGGACGCAUCACUGGUGUUCGGGUUGUCAUGCCAAUGGCACUGCCCGGUAGCUAAAUGCGGAAGAGAUAAGUGCUGAAAGCAUCUAAGCACGAAACUUGCCCCGAGAUGAGUUCUCCCUGAGAC